CAACCUCAACUCAUAUGGGACUACCCCCUGAAUUUAAGCAUAUUAAUUAGGGGAGGAAAAGAAACUAACAAGGAUUUUCUUAGUAGCGGCGAGCGAAAAGAAAUCAGUUCAGCACUAAGUCACUUUGUCUAUAUGGCAAAUGUGAGAUGCAGUGUACGGAACAUCAACAUUCUAGUAUGAGAAGUUAACGAUUUAAGUCCUUCUUAAAUGAGGCCAUUUACCCAUAGAGGGUGCCAGGCCCGUAUAACGUUAAUGAUUACUAGAUGGUGUUUCCAAAGAGUCGUGUUGCUUGAUAGUGCAGCACUAAGUGGGUGGUAAACUCCAUCUAAAACUAAAUAUAACCAUGAGACCGAUAGUAAACAAGUACCGUGAGGGAAAGUUGAAAAGAACUCUGAAUAGAGAGUUAAAUAGUACGUGAAACUGCUUAGAGGUUAAGCCCGAUGAACCUGAAUAUCCGUUAUGGAAAAUUCAUCAUUAGAAUUGUAAUA
rnacentral:ncRNA from 1 species